UGCAGCCCUCAUUGCCCUGCAGUUGCCCCAAUGUGACCUAUGCAGCACACUGGUGCCCUUUUGUGCAUAACUUCUUUGUGCAAUGCAGCACCGUCGUGGCCACACCAGCAGACCAGACCAUCUGGCAAAGAGGCCUCUCUCAUUGCUGAGAAGGGGAACAUCAACCAGAACUGCGCUUUGCAGGACACACCUGCCUGCAGACCUGAAAAUUGUAUCAACUGGUGGCAGGAAGUGAGAUGAAACCCCUAUAAUCCCAUGGGAAACUCACUUCAGGAACCUGAAUCUCUGCAAGUGUCAGUGUCCCCAGGGAGA